CCCUUUCUCAGGCUCACAGGGGAGCUCCAGUCCCCUCACCCCCUCUGUAACCUGCUCUGGGCUUGCUGCAGCAGUGCUGUGUCCAUUGGGGCACAGGGAACAGAUCCUGUGCACUGCAGCUUGGCAGGGAACGUUCUCCCAGCCAUUGUGACGCCUAAGGCAAGGAGCCCCCUAGAACUGCUUGCUUUGUUGGAGUAGGAUUCUGGUUCCUACUCAGCUGAACUGAUCCUGUGAGAUUGUCACCAGUUCUGAGGCCCUGGAUCACCAUUUCUAAGAGCGGAAGCUGAGAAGGAAAGGGAGCAGUGCUGGGCUGUUCCAUUGUGGUGUUCACGCACAUCCCAACACAGAACACUGGAUCGUGACCUGCAGUGCCAGAAGGUUGAACCAGAAACCCCUGCUUGUUCUGACCCGUGCCGAGGCACAGUGUGCUGAGAUGUCAUCACCUGGCAAGUCACAGAGACCAUCGUGAGCACACUGAUGACUCCUUUGUGGGUCAGCUGAGCCCCUGAGGCCUUAACCAUCGGCCUCCCCUGGCAAAGUCCUUCCAGGAUGGAAAAGGAACAAAAAUAGGCAUCUGUGACUUGGUUUGAAAGCUUUUAAAUGUAAAGAAUGAUCAUAGAACCGUUUAGGCUGGAGAAGACCUUUAAGAUUGACUCCAACCAUAGUGCAAGGGUGAUGUCUGAGAGGAGCUGCGUGAGUGCGUGGGGCAGAGAAACAGAACGGAGCAGCCAGAUUUUAAGAAGCUGCUUUCUGGGAGUUACUGGAUCUGUUUUUUCCAAUCAACACCCAGACUCCGCUUUGUGUGUAACCUAGGGUGCAGAGUGUCCAUGGCUCCCCACCAGGCUGAGCCAAGGGUGCUAAUACCAACCUUGCAAUAAAAACACAAAGCCAUUUAAAUCUUUCUCUUCAGUUUCUUCCCCUUUUGUUGACUUUGCUGUAGAGUUCAGAAUAGCCAGACAAUGAGUAGUACAGACGUCGCUGUGCUGUGGUGGGUUUGUCAGCUGUGAUGGACAGUCACCCAGUUGUGACGCUUCCCCCGUGGGGGCGGAUGGAGGCAGAGCACAUUCUGCCUGCUCAGAAGAGCACUCCACAUCCAAAGCCCAUGGCAAGCAUUAGUCCUGUCCCUGUGGCAGCAAUGAACUGCUGCCUGGAUUGAAGUGAAAGGCUUCUCUUCCAGCCUGCUCCAAAUAUCCUCCAGACCUCAUCACCCACCAACACGGAAUAAGCAUCUCUGGUGCAGCCUGCAAGAGCUCCGCUCCAAAGUCGCAGGCUGCAUGGGAACAGGGGUCACAGCAGGCCCUGAGGACACAGAUGGCCAGGCCGUGUUUCCUUCCAGCACACGGCACUUGUUCCCAGGAUCCAAUGUUUACGCUCAAAGUUCCCUCUGGAAACCAGCGCUGUAGAAUGCAGCAGCAAAGCCCAGCGGUGUAAAGCAAACAGGUGAGGAGGAUUGAUGUGGUGGAUCCAGCCCUGGAGCAACACCAGAGCUGCAGGUCUCUGCUCCCAGCUGUGUCUGACACCUCCGUGUAACACCUGCCAUUUACACUUAGAUACACCAGAUUCUUUUUCUUUCAUCACAUGGCCAUAUCAUCCUUUGUUUGAGACAAGAAUUCCCAGGAAAACUGUGAAGUGACAAACAUCAGAGUUGGUGUGUUGGAACGACACCUAAGUACUUAACACUACAGGAAUGUGCCACUUACUGCAGUAUUUUAUGUAAUAAAUGUAUUAGAAAACCAAAAAAUGAAUACAGACUUGUGGUUUGCAAAGUUAAACAAGUGAAAAACCUGCCAAUGUUACAUUUCAAUGACUCAAAGCAUCGUUAAGGUUGGAAAAGAGCUUUCAAAUAAUCGAGUCCAAACAUCAACCCUCCAACGGUGUCCUCAGGUGUCAUUGCCCCAUUUUUUGAAACCUAUUUCCCACUGGCACUAAUCAGGGAACAGAGUGCUGGGAAUGACCUUUGGGAAGUUCUGCACACAGGUUACUCCAGCUGGAAUGAACUUACCACCUUAACCCCUCCAAAUACAAAUGGCUUUUUCUCCUGGAUUUUUGCAUCUUGGAUUUUUAUUGACUCGGCUCUCUUGCUCGUUGGAAUUGAAGAAUAAAGCAAGGAAGGCUUUCAGCAGCUCUCUGCCAUGAAGGAGAGCUAAAGAGUCCACAUGCUCGGCUGCCUUUUGUUGUGAGAACAAACACAGCCCCAAAAUACAGGUGACAGAUGAGCCCAUAGUAAACAAUUAGGAAAGUUGGAGUUAAAAAAGGAGAUAAAAAGGCAGAAAACAUGAUUAAAGUACUGAGCUGGGAGAUUCAUUAGUGUUGCAGACAGAUAAGUAAAUUAGAGCCCUGCAGAAAUUAUUUGACUGGCAAAUUAAUUACACAAUAUUACAAUGGCUUUGCCAGCCGAAUUUAGCCCUCGGGAAGCAGGUAGGAGUCUGCCUGACUUAAUAAAAGGAGCCUCGACUGGUCUGCAGCUUAAUCAGAGAUGAAAAUUAACAUUUCAGGAUUUGAGGCAAAAGGAGGAGGCCAGGCUCUAGCACAAUUACAGGUUACACUGGCAAGGAAGCUGUCCAGGCAGCGGGGUGCUCCUGCCUCCUCACAGGCCUUUAAUUCACUGUCCUGCCUGGGAGAGCAGGGCAGGAGCUGCUUUGGGAACCCACGCGGAGCCUCGUUAGGCAGGUCACUCAACGGGACACUUUGCACUUGCUUAGAGAAUGCCUGAUCAAAAUAUUUGACCCUAACCCUUAAAAAGUACAUUAAUAUUAUUAUUAUUAUUAUUAUUAUUAUUGCUAAUAUUGUUACUAUUCCUGUUAAUGUUAUUAUCAUAUUUCCUUCAAUAUUGACUUAUUCUCUGAGCCUCAUUCUCCAUUUGCAGCUCUCACUCUGUCCCCAGCGAGCAGAAACGCUUUAGGUAAGAAAUAUUUGUUUUUCAGUUUGUUUGCUUAGUAUCACAUUUUCCAGGUAUGGAUAUUAGGAACUCUGUCCUGGACCCAUUUAUUUUUUCUUUUCCUGGAGCAGCUUUGGCAAUACAUAUUUAUAUCCCUGGACCACGCCUCCUUCCAUGACAAGCAGCAGGGAGCCCUCAUUAUCCAGGCUGACCCACAGCAUCACUUCGAGCAGGAAGACCUCAGUAUCACUGCAGAUAUUUAAAAAAGCCUUUCCUGGGCUUUCCUGCCCCCGGACGUGGCAGUGGCUGUGUGGCCACCCCAGCCUGGCAGCACCCAGUGGAGGGGCUGCAGUAAAUCCAUUUUCCUUUCUCUGCUGUGUGCUGUAGGGGCCAGGCCUGUGGGGUUCCCUGCUGGAAGUGUGGCCUCAUUUAAUCAGGAUCUGACUGAUAUCAAAAUUGACUCGGUUUUCCAAUGAUAUCUUGUAGUGGAAUGUUGUGAGCUGGAAACUAAUAUAUUUCUUCUUGCUUGUCACAUCAAUAUGGGCUAAUUUUGUUGGCUUUUGUAUUGAACAAUCUGGUGAAUGUACAAUCCGCUUUUGAUUUCUCUCUUUAUGAUGCCUCUUGUUAUUAAAGCUCCCUCAACCAAAAAAUAAUGUAUUUUUAUUUACUGGUAAUAUUAAUGGGAUUCAAUUUUUGGCCUCAGUUUUAAUCUAGUUUUUCCAUAUUGAAGAACCAGAUCCCAUUUA